rnacentral:rRNA from 1 species
UGGGGAAUCUUCCACAAUGGACGAAAGUCUGAUGGAGCAACGCCGCGUGAGUGAAGAAGGUUUUCGAAUCGUAAAGCUCUGUUGUCAGGGACGAAUGUUGAGACUGAGAAUAUUGGUUUCAAAUGACGGUACCUGACGAGGAAGCCACGGCUAACUACGUGCCAGCAGCCGCGGUAAUACGUAGGUGGCGAGCGUUGUCCGGAAUUAUUGGGCGUAAAGGGAGCGCAGGUGGGCUGUCAAGUCUGUCUUAAAAGUGCGGGGCUUAACCCCGUGAUGGGAUAGAAACUGGCAGUCUUGAGUGCAGGAGAGGAAAGCGGAAUUCCUAGUGUAGCGGUGAAAUGCGUAGAUAUUAGGAGGAACACCAGUGGCGAAGGCGGCUUUCUGGACUGUAACUGACACUGAGGCUCGAAAGCCAGGGGAGCGAACG